rnacentral:rRNA from 1 species
UACGUAGGGGGCAAGCGUUGUCCGGAAUCAUUGGGCGUAAAGAGCGUGUAGGCGGCCAGACAAGUCUGCUGUGAAAACUCGAGGCUCAACCUCGAGCUGUCGGUGGAAACUGUCUGGCUAGAGUCCGGAAGAGGAGAGUGGAAUUCCUGGUGUAGCGGUGAAAUGCGCAGAUAUCAGGAAGAACACCCGUGGCGAAGGCGGCUCUCUGGGGACGGUACUGACGCUGAGACGCGAAAGCGUGGGGAGCGAACAGG